GACGAACGCUGGCGGCGUGCUUAACACAUGCAAGUCGAACGAAAAGAGGGAAAGAGCUUGCUCUUUCCGGAAUUGAGUGGCAAACGGGUGAGUAACACGUAAACAACCUGCCUUCAGGGUGGGGGCAACAGACGGAAACGACUGCUAAUACCGAAUAAGUUCCAAGAGCCGCAUGGCCCAUGGAAGAAAAGGUGGCCUCUACCUGUAAGCUAUCGCCUGAAGAGGGGUUUGCGUCUGAUUAGCUGGUUGGAGGGGUAACGGCCCACCAAGGCGACGAUCAGUAGCCGGUCUGAGAGGCUGAACGGCCCCACUUGAACUGAGACACGGUCCAGACUCCUACGGGAGGCGGCCGUGGGGAAUCUUCCGCAAUGGGCGAAAGCCUGACGGAGCAACGCCGCGUGAGUGAUGACGGCCUUCGGGUUGUAAAACUCUGUGAUCCGGGACGAAAAGGCAGAGUGCGAAGAACAAACUGCAUUGACGGUACCGGAAAAGCAAGCCACGGCUAACUACGUG
rnacentral:rRNA from 1 species